GAUGAACGCUAGCGGGAGGCCUAACACAUGCGAGCCGAGCGGUAUUUCUUCUUCGGGAGAGAGAGAGCGGCGUACGGGUGCGGAACACGUGUGCAACCUGCCUUUAUCUAGAGGAUAGCCUUUCGAAAGGAAGAUUAAUACUCUAUAAUAUAUUAAUCUGCAUCAAUUGAUAUUGAAAACUCCGGUGGAUAGAGAUGGGCACGCGCAAGAUUAGCUAGUUGGUGAGGUAACGGCUCACCAAGGCAAUGAUCUUUAGGGGGCCUGAGAAGGUGAUCCCCCACACUGGUACUGAGAAACGGACCAGACUCCUACGGGAGGCAGCAGUGAGGAAUAUUGGUCAAUGGGUGCAAGCCUGAACCAGCCAUCCCGCGUGAAGGAUUAAGGUCCUAUGGAUUGUAAACUUCUUUUGUAUAGGGAUAAACCUACCCUCGUGAGGGUAGCUGAAGGUACUAUACGAAUAAGCACCGGCUAACUCCGUGCCAGCCGCCGCCGUAAAAC
rnacentral:rRNA from 1 species